rnacentral:lncRNA from 1 species
UACCCAGGAGACAAUCUUCUGUGAGGCAAUGAGGUGAACUCAAGUCUUAACUCUACUUAGAGUGUGUAUGUCUGUCUGACAGAACAAAAAUUAAAAAAAAAAAAAAAAAAAAAAAAAAAGAGGCUCUGUGUAAGUUUCCCCUGCAGGACACAAGGCAGGGUUUCCUUCAAACCUGUGUGGAGAGGAGAAGCGGAGGGCCUGCUGCAGUAGCCACAGUGCACACAGGGGCAGGCAGCAAAGUCAGCACUCUGACGAGGAGGCAGGACAUCCUGAGGUGGUGGUUCAGGAGCUUGGUGGUGAGGUGGCCUCAGGUUUCUCCCAUUUCAUGGCAGCAUUUGGCUCAGCUGUGAAGAGCGGCUGGUAAGAAACUGCUCAGGAAAGGGUAGUGCUUGGAGCCGUCAGUGGCACACUGCUGCCUUCCUGCCACGUGCUGAGCGCGGAGCGCUAGCUUGCCCUCUCCCGCACCGACGACUCCGGACUGAUAGCUAUCUCCUGAGGCAGGCCUCCUCCCUGAUCUUGGGAAGCCCAGAUGCUGGGUUUUCACACGGUGCCCAAGGGAUUGAAAGCAGUGUUUAAGCGGCCUGUGGGGUAGGUGCGGCUGGCCCAGGGUCCUUUCCUCACUCUUCAGCUGCUGCCCUGUUCUGAGGGACAACAGUGCAGCUGAGCAUGUGUCUCAGAGCGGGCAGGGCACAGGCCACCACUUCCUUCAGUGCUCAGUGACUGCUGCUUUAGGUUAGUGUAUAUUACUCAGAACUUCACAGUGUAACCUGACUUUACUAAGUAAAAUGAUACUUAAGCUACUUCCUAGAGCUAGCUAACUGCUUGUGCUUUAAGCUGCAGUCCCAUUCAGUGUGACAUUCACAUAGUUGAGAGCUGUGAGGGGAGACGUGGGUGAAGCCAUAGAGCACAUUUGCUUGAAAUUCUUAAGCAGGGAUCUUCCAAGGGCCAGAAACCAGCGUGGUUCUCAGAGACGGAGCCACGUCUGUGUGAGCCAGGAGAGAUGUCUAUAGGGGCAUUGCAAUAAACUGUCGCAGCUGUUUCCCAAGUAAUGUACAUACUCUUCUGUGGUCACGGCCAGCCUCUGAGCGGCGCCUCUGCACUCACCCGUCUGCGUUUGGUCUCCAGUGGUUUUCUAUUCAGGUGUAUAUACGGUGCUCACUUUAGAUCAGCAGUGUCGGCCAUUUAUGCUGCAGAGCUGUGUCAUAGCCUUAUUAGUUGUGUGUGGUUGGUGACCCUCUGGGUACACAAUGUCUGUUGAGUGCUGUCUUACCCAUUUGUUGACAAGUGGAUGUCUGUGCAUGUGUUGUGUGUCACGGGGUGUCGUCACAGUGUCACGGGUGUCGUCACAGAGGGAAGGAGCAGAACCACCACACCCAUAGUGGACCAAACUACGUCCUUGCUGUAGCCAGGGACUCGUCCCCUAGCCGAGUUACAGUAGUGUAUAAUUAAAUAUUGUGGGAAAGUUAGUCUUGUAUUUUUCUGUGUGUAUAUAUAUAUAAUUAUGUACUUCUGGAAUUCUAUCUGUAUUUAAAGAUGUGACAAUCUUGACACCAAUUUUAAUAGUCAUGAGCCUGAACAAAGAUGUCCUAGAGCCAGAGUUGGUAUGUGCUGAGAACACAAACUUGUCAGCUAAUUGGUCAGAUGCCUCUAGUUCUGACCAGUCUUUUUCCUUGUGUGAACAUUGACAGGUAUGUGACAGAUGGGAAAUAAUCCAAUAAUAAAGUGACAUACUGAUGUUCAGCAAU